GAUGAAGAACGUAGCGAAAUGCGAUAAGUAAUGUGAAUUGCAGAAUUCAGUGAAUCAUCGAAUCUUUGAACGCAUCUUGCGCUCCUUGGUAUUCUGAGGAGCAUGCCUGUUUGAGUGUCAUUAAAUUCUCAACUACACUGACUUUGAAUUGGUGUGGCUUGGAUUUGGGGGGAAAAUUGUUGUGGGCUUUUUGUAUAGUCUGCUCCCCUGAAAUUGAUUAGCGGUACCUUUGUGGAACUGUCUACAGGUGUGAUAAUUAUCUACAUCUUAGACAUCUGCUGGAAUGCUGCUUUCUAAACCUUACUUGUAUUGACAAUCUUGACCGCAAAUCAGGUAGGACUACCCGCUGAACUUAAGCAUAUCAAUAAGCGGAGGA
rnacentral:misc_RNA from 1 species